CACCAUCUAGUGGUAGUUUACUACUUUGGACUUUCCACGGAGAGCGCUAGCGUUGUUACCGCGCUUUUUCGUUGUCAGAAGUACGGAAUGGAGUUUUCAUAUUUAUUCUGAUGAAUUCGAAGAGGGUUUGACAAAUUUAUCUGAUUGACAAAAGAGAUAUCAGUUGUUGGGAUCAUGGCCGGAUAAAUUCAUGGACAAAUGUUUGAUACAAUACAUGGUCUGCCAUUACAUGAAUAAUGACCCAUUAUCUGACUUCAGCAAAAGCACAAUGGACUGGAAGAGAUCCUGGUCAAAUUUGAUGCUGCAGGAUGAACAAGUGGCAGAAUUAUAAUGAAUUUACAUUUGAUUGUCAUAGUUCACAAUUGACAAGGGAGUGGUCCAUUAUAUUUUAAUGUCGUAAAAAGUGAAGACAAUCUGUUACAAGAAAACAUAGACGGCUCACAUUUUGCAAAUUCCUCUGCUUUGAGAGUGUUCUUCACAUAAAAAUAUUAUCUCGAUGCAGGUGUUUAUUCCACGCCAAAACAGGACACUAUCGACUGCACAACAUUGACAUGAAAAUGGCUAUUCCCUAAACCGUAGACAUCUCAUUACUUGGUGGAAGCUUAAUAGACAAUGAGAACACCUGCUAAACAAAAACAAGAAAUUGGUUCAAGACUAAAUUGAGCUCACUUUCAGAUACUGUAUCUACAAUAGAAGUUGGUUAGAAGCACCAAAUGUUUUCCAGUAUAAAAUUAGGUGAAUUGUGAUAUUUUGAA